rnacentral:rRNA from 1 species
UACGUAGGGUGCGAGCGUUAAUCGGAAUUACUGGGCGUAAAGCGUGCGCAGGCGGUUUUGUAAGCCAGAUGUGAAAUCCCCGGGCUUAACCUGGGAAUGGCAUUUGGGACUGCAAGGCUGGAGUGCGGCAGAGGAGACUGGAAUUCCUGGUGUAGCAGUGAAAUGCGUAGAUAUCAGGAGGAACACCGGUGGCGAAGGCGGGUCUCUGGGCCGUAACUGACGCUGAGGAGCGAAAGCAUGGGGAGCGAACAGG